rnacentral:lncRNA from 1 species
UACAAUCACUAUCAUUUUUCCCUUUUUGUGGUUACAACCAUUAGGGGCCGUUUGGUUGAAUGUAGUUAUAAAAACAGUAUAGUUGGAAGUACAUGCAGCUGUAAAUGCUGCAGUCAUAACUACAUCUAGUUUGUUUGGUUUUAUGCAGUUGCAACUGCUGCGGUUAUAUUUCUUCUGUUUGGUAGGUUACAGUUGAGAUUUGUAUUUGUAAAUUCUGUCAAUUUUUAGAUAAAAAGGUGAGAUUACCUCUUGUGAACAUAGUAUAAUCAUGAGAUCUUUU